AUGAAUCCGGCCUCGGCGCCAGGCCCUGAUGGCCUUCCGGUUCAUCUUUUCCAGGCUUUUUGGCCGGUGGUCAAGGAAAUUAUCCUUGAUCUGAUCCGUGAGUUCUCUAGGGGAACAUUAGACGUGUCCCGGCUUAACUACGGGAUCAUGUCCCUGAUCCCCAAAGUUUCGGGAGCCGCUGAUAUCAGGCAGUUCUACCCUAUCACUAUUCUUAAUGUUAUCUUUUGGAUUCUGGCCAACGGGUACGCCACUAGGGCGGCCCUAAUUGCUCCCCGGAUUCACCACCCGAACCAGUCGGCCUUCACGAAAGGCAGGUACAUUCUGGAUGGGAUCCUCAUUCUCCACGAGGUCAUCCAUGAGGUCAAGAGCAAGCACCUUCACGCGGUGUUCUUCAAAAUUGACUUUCAUAGAGCAUAUGACACAGUCCACUGGUCCUUCCUUCGGGAAGUAUUGCUCAAGCGUGGGUUCGACUCCCACUGGGUAGCCCGGGUGAUGCAGUUAUUGACGAGUGGUCGCACGGCUGUGAACGUUAAUGGGGAGAUUGGGCCUUAUGUCUUGACUGGACAGGGAGUUCGGCAAGGUGAUCCGAUCUCCCCAUUUCUUUUCAACUGUGUGGUUGAUGCGCUAGCUUUGAUCCUAGAUUUGGCCAAACAGGCCGGUCACAUUAGGGGGUUUGCCAUCAUCUUGUGGCCAACGGAGGUCUGA
rnacentral:rRNA from 1 species